CAGCCGCCACGGUAAAACGUAGGUGGCAAGCGUUGUCCGGAAUUAUUGGGCGUAAAGGGCUCGCAGGCGGUUUCUUAAGUCUGAUGUGAAAGCCCCCGGCUCAACCGGGGAGGGUCAUUGGAAACUGGGAAACUUGAGUGCAGAAGAGGAGAGUGGAAUUCCACGUGUAGCGGUGAGAUGCGUAGAGAUGUGGAGGAACACCAGUGGCGAAGGCGACUCUCUGGUCUGUAACUGACGCUGAGGAGCGAAAGCGUGGGGAGCGAACAGGAUUAGAUACCCCUGUAGUCCCUGUCUCUUAUAC
rnacentral:rRNA from 1 species